rnacentral:hammerhead_ribozyme from 1 species
AUCCGGCUGACGAGUACCAAAUAGGACGAAACGUGCGUCCUGGAU